rnacentral:rRNA from 1 species
CAAGAUUUGAAAUCUAGCGAAGUUUCUCGAAAGAGAGAUGUGCCGCAAGGAACGCUAGGACAGGUGAUGCAUGGCUGUCGUCAGCUCGUGGCGUGAGCUGUUCGGUUAAGUCCGUUAACGAGCGCAACCCUUGUCCAAUGUUAUAUUUUACUUUGGAGACUGCCGGCGUAUAGUCGGAGGAAGGUGGGGAUGACGUCAAGUCAGCACGUCCCUUUGACAUCUUGGGCAACACACGUGCUACAAUGGCCGUUCUAGAAUUAUCUAGAGUCCUUCGGGACACAAAGAGAAGCUAAGCCGCAAGGCAGUGCAAAUCUCAACAAAAGCGGCCUCAGUUCAGAUUGAGGGCUGAAACUCGCCCUCAUGAAGUCGGAAUCGCUAGUAAUCGUAGGUCAGCACACUACGGUGAAUACGUUCUC